GGCCUCCCAAUUCUUACCACAGGCUGUGUACUUUAAACUGACUAUAUAGAAAGAGGUGGUACAGUAAAUGCACCCCAUAUACACCUCAACCCAGGCCCUUUGUUUGGUCUGUAUUGUGAAUUGGGAGACAAAA